UUAAGCGACUAAGCGUACACGGUGGAUGCCCUGGCAGUCAGAGGCGAUGAAGGACGUGCUAAUCUGCGAUAAGCGCCGGUAAGGUGAUAUGAACCGUUAUAACCGGCGAUUUCCGAAUGGGGAAACCCAGUGUGACUCGUCACACUAUCAUUAACUGAAUCCAUAGGUUAAUGAGGCGAACCGGGGGAACUGAAACAUCUAAGUACCCCGAGGAAAAGAAAUCAACCGAGAUUCCCCCAGUAGCGGCGAGCGAACGGGGAGGAGCCCAGAGCCUGAAUCAGCAUGUGUGUUAGUGGAAGCGUCUGGAAAGGCGCGCGAUACAGGGUGACAGCCCCGUACACAAAAGCGCAUAUGCUGUGAGCUCGAUGAGUAGGGCGGGACACGUGGUAUCCUGUCUGAAUAUGGGGGGACCAUCCUCCAAGGCUAAAUACUCCUGACUGACCGAUAGUGAACCAGUACCGUGAGGGAAAGGCGAAAAGAACCCCGGCGAGGGGAGUGAAAAAGAACCUGAAACCGUGUACGUACAAGCAGUGGGAGCACCCUUUGGGGUGUGACUGCGUACCUUUUGUAUAAUGGGUCAGCGACUUAUAUUCUGUAGCAAGGUUAACCGAAUAGGGGAGCCGGAGGGAAACCGAGUCUUAAUUGGGCGUUAAGUUGCAGGGUAUAGACCCGAAACCCGGUGAUCUAGCCAUGGGCAGGUUGAAGGUUGGGUAACACUAACUGGAGGACCGAACCGACUAAUGUUGAAAAAUUAGCGGAUGACCUGUGGCUGGGGGUGAAAGGCCAAUCAAACCGGGAGAUAGCUGGUUCUCCCCGAAAGCUAUUUAGGUAGCGCCUCGUGAAUUCAUCUCCGGGGGUAGAGCACUGUUUCGGCUAGGGGGCCAUCCCGGCUUACCAACCCGAUGCAAACUGCGAAUACCGGAGAAUGUUAUCACGGGAGACACACGGCGGGUGCUAACGUCCGUCGUGAAGAGGGAAACAACCCAGACCGCCAGCUAAGGUCCCAAAGUCAUGGUUAAGUGGGAAACGAUGUGGGAAGGCCCAGACAGCCAGGAUGUUGGCUUAGAAGCAGCCAUCAUUUAAAGAAAGCGUAAUAGCUCACUGGUCGAGUCGGCCUGCGCGGAAGAUGUAACGGGGCUAAACCAUGCACCGAAGCUGCGGCAGCGACGCUGAUGCGUUGUUGGGUAGGGGAGCGUUCUGUAAGCCUGUGAAGGUGUGUCGUGAGGCAUGCUGGAGGUAUCAGAAGUGCGAAUGCUGACAUAAGUAACGAUAAAGCGGGUGAAAAGCCCGCUCGCCGGAAGACCAAGGGUUCCUGUCCAACGUUAAUCGGGGCAGGGUGAGUCGACCCCUAAGGCGAGGCCGAAAGGCGUAGUCGAUGGGAAACGGGUUAAUAUUCCCGUACUUGGUGUUACUGCGAAGGGGGGACGGAGAAGGCUAUGUUGGCCGGGCGACGGUUGUCCCGGUUUAAGCGUGUAGGUGUGUGUUCCAGGUAAAUCCGGUUCACUUUAACACUGAGGCGUGACGACGAGGCACUACGGUGCUGAAGCAACAAAUGCCCUGCUUCCAGGAAAAGCCUCUAAGCAUCAGGUAACAUCAAAUCGUACCCCAAACCGACACAGGUGGUCAGGUAGAGAAUACCAAGGCGCUUGAGAGAACUCGGGUGAAGGAACUAGGCAAAAUGGUGCCGUAACUUCGGGAGAAGGCACGCUGACACGUAGGUGAAGUGAUUUACUCAUGGAGCUGAAGUCAGUCGAAGAUACCAGCUGGCUGCAACUGUUUAUUAAAAACACAGCACUGUGCAAACACGAAAGUGGACGUAUACGGUGUGACGCCUGCCCGGUGCCGGAAGGUUAAUUGAUGGGGUCAGCGCAAGCGAAGCUCCUGAUCGAAGCCCCGGUAAACGGCGGCCGUAACUAUAACGGUCCUAAGGUAGCGAAAUUCCUUGUCGGGUAAGUUCCGACCUGCACGAAUGGCGUAAUGAUGGCCAGGCUGUCUCCACCCGAGACUCAGUGAAAUUGAACUCGCUGUGAAGAUGCAGUGUACCCGCGGCAAGACGGAAAGACCCCGUGAACCUUUACUAUAGCUUGACACUGAACAUUGAGCCUUGAUGUGUAGGAUAGGUGGGAGGCUUUGAAGUGUGGACGCCAGUCUGCAUGGAGCCGACCUUGAAAUACCACCCUUUAAUGUUUGAUGUUCUAACGUGGACCCGUGAUCCGGGUUGCGGACAGUGUCUGGUGGGUAGUUUGACUGGGGCGGUCUCCUCCUAAAGAGUAACGGAGGAGCACGAAGGUUGGCUAAUCCUGGUCGGACAUCAGGAGGUUAGUGCAAUGGCAUAAGCCAGCUUGACUGCGAGCGUGACGGCGCGAGCAGGUGCGAAAGCAGGUCAUAGUGAUCCGGUGGUUCUGAAUGGAAGGGCCAUCGCUCAACGGAUAAAAGGUACUCCGGGGAUAACAGGCUGAUACCGCCCAAGAGUUCAUAUCGACGGCGGUGUUUGGCACCUCGAUGUCGGCUCAUCACAUCCUGGGGCUGAAGUAGGUCCCAAGGGUAUGGCUGUUCGCCAUUUAAAGUGGUACGCGAGCUGGGUUUAGAACGUCGUGAGACAGUUCGGUCCCUAUCUGCCGUGGGCGCUGGAGAACUGAGGGGGGCUGCUCCUAGUACGAGAGGACCGGAGUGGACGCAUCACUGGUGUUCGGGUUGUCAUGCCAAUGGCACUGCCCGGUAGCUAAAUGCGGAAGAGAUAAGUGCUGAAAGCAUCUAAGCACGAAACUUGCCCCGAGAUGAGUUCUCCCUGAGACUUAAAGUCUCCUGAAGGAACGUUGAAGACGACGACGUUGAUAGGCCGGGUGUGUAAGCGCAGCGAUGCGUUGAGCUAACCGGUACUAAUGAACCGUGAGGCUUAACCUU
rnacentral:rRNA from 2 species